rnacentral:lncRNA from 1 species
UGGAUUCCCAUCGAUCCCAUCCCCCAUUCCCUCGUUAUCAACGUCGGCGACGCCCUCCAGGUAAAAUUAAUUUUAAAUAAUAUAUUCAUCCUAAUAUUAAUAGGGUUGUUCACGAAAUGAGUUGAAUUUAAAUAGUUCGGACUAUCGAGCCUAGAUAGUUCGGACUAUCGAGUCGAGUCGUUUGGUUAUGGAUCGAGUAAUAAGCUUAUUAAUGGUAUUUUUGAGCCAAAGUAGAGCUAUUGAUUUUAAUCCAGCUGAUCUCGCACCCAUAGACUCGAACCGGAUAGUUUUGUACAUGAGUGUUGUUGUACUAUCGAAUUUAUUUGAUUGAAAUCCUGGCUACGUCACUGUAUGCAGGCAUUGAGCAAUGACAAGAUGAAGAGCCCGACCCACAGGAUUUUGGCGCAGCCGGGGAAAAGCCGAUAUGCAUUUGUGUACGGGUACAUGGUAGCAGAAGAGAAGUGGGUUGAGCCGAUGCCUGAGUUGAUCGGUCAGACCAACGAGUCGCCCAAGUUCAAGAAGUUCAACAUCAAAGAGCACAUGGCGCUCAAGCAAGUGUUCAAGAACCCUCCUCCUCACUGGAACGACGUCGUCGGUGUUCAUUACCAUGCCAUCACUCCGUCCGCCGCCGCCGCCGCCAACUGAUCGCGAAAUUCUCGAUUGUUAUUGAUCCAUGUUAACUCUAAGGGUUUUGAUCCAGUUUGUUUGUCCGUUAAAAUAAACGUGUGUUGGCCGUUAGCCGGCAAAGUUUUAAUUAGUCACGUGUUUUCAAGUGUGGUCUAUGUCGAGUAUUGGAUUGAGUUUCGGUUUAAUAAAAUUAUUAUCGAGGGUCCGUUUCAAGUGCAAUUAUCAAAAGUAUGGGUGGUUUCAGAAAGAAAUCUUGUACUUUAUUA